rnacentral:rRNA from 1 species
UGAGGAAUAUUGGACAAUGGAGGGGACUCUGAUCCAGCCAUGCCGCGUGCAGGAAGACUGCCCUAUGGGUUGUAAACUGCUUUUAUACAGGAAGAAACACUAGUACGUGUACUAGCUUGACGGUACUGUAAGAAUAAGGACCGGCUAACUCCGUGCCAGCAGCCGCGGUAAUACGGAGGGUCCGAGCGUUAUCCGGAAUCAUUGGGUUUAAAGGGUCCGCAGGCGGUCGAUUAAGUCAGAGGUGAAAUCCCAUAGCUUAACUAUGGAACUGCCUUUGAUACUGGUUGGCUUGAGUCAUAUGGAAGUAGAUAGAAUGUGUAGUGUAGCGGUGAAAUGCAUAGAUAUUACACAGAAUACCGAUUGCGAAGGCAGUCUACUACGUAUGUACUGACGCUCAUGGACGAAAGCGUGGGGAGCGAACAGGAUUAGAUACCCUGGUAGUCCACGCCGUAAACGAUGGACACUAGUUGUUGGGAUUUAUCUCAGUGACUAAGCGAAAGUGAUAA